rnacentral:lncRNA from 1 species
CUUUCGGCUGCUGGGUAGCUCCUCUUCCCUCGCUGGGCGAGGCUCUAAAGCCCAUGUGCAGCACAUUGAGGAUCUUCCGAUCGGUCUUCGCUGAUGCUUUUCUCAUGUCCCUCUAAGGGCGAGAUCACUGGGAAAGGAGCUGAUGCUGGUGGAAUCUUCAGGUGAUGAAGAUGGAGACUCCAGGUCUGAGUCGGCUGGAAAUAAAAAGAGACUCCCUGCAUUAGAGACCAUCCACAGGGCAUCCUUGGAAGCUGUGACCUGAAGGUGGACAAGCCACAGGAUGGAAGGAGCUGCAUCUCUAAGUCACCAGUGAAGAACAGUCACCCUCAAUGGCAAGAGUUGAAUCCAUUAACAGUACUCAGCUCCAAUCUGUAAACCUGUGCUCCUAAAGUCUGCCUGAUGGUGCCUCUACAGACUUACCAACACCAGUGGUCCAGCAUCUGCUCCUCAGAGAUGCACAAAGAAGAGUGUACAUGAGGACACAGUGAGAAGGCGUCCAUCGGCAAGACAAGAGCUCUCAUCAGAAACCAAAUCUGUCAGCACUUUGAUUUGGGACUUCUAGCCUCUGGAACUGUGAAAAAAUAAAUCUCUGUUGUUUAAGCCACCCAAGCUAUGAUAUUUUGUUACGGCAGCCUAAGCAGGUACACAAUGCAACAGAAAAAUGGGCA